rnacentral:rRNA from 1 species
CCUACGGGAGGCAGCAGUGAGGAAUAUUGGUCAAUGGGCGCGAGCCUGAACCAGCCAAGUAGCGUGAAGGAUGACUGCCCUACGGGUUGUAAACUUCUUUUAUAAAGGAGUAAAGUGAGGCGCGUGAGCCUUUUUGUAUGUACUUUAUGAAUAAGGAUCGGCUAACUCCGUGCCAGCAGCCGCGGUAAUACGGAGGAUCCGAGCGUUAUCCGGAUUUAUUGGGUUUAAAGGGAGCGUAGAUGGGUUGUUAAGUCAGUUGUGAAAGUUUGCGGCUCAACCGUAAAAUUGCAAUUGAUACUGGCAGCCUUGAGUACAGUUGAGGUAGGCGGAAUUCGUGGUGUAGCGGUGAAAUGCGUAGAUAUCACGAAGAACUCCAAUGGCGAAGGCAGCUUACUAAACUGCCACUGACAUUGAUGCUCGAAAGUGUGGGUAUCAAACAGGAUUAGAUACCCUGGUAGUC